ACCUGGGUGGCUCAGUAGGUUAAGCAUCUGACUUCAGCUCAGGUCAUGAUCUCACAGCUUGUGGGUUCAAACCCCAUGUCGGGGU
rfam:Felis catus isolate Cinnamon breed Abyssinian chromosome F1, whole genome shotgun sequence.